AUACAUAGCAAGAAAGCAUUUGGCACAAACUAUGUGCAUAACACUGUACUGCACUUAUGUGUAUGCAUACAUACACAUGCAUACAAACAUAUACAUGUAAUUGAGAAGCUAUAAUCAUU
rnacentral:miRNA from 1 species